UAUUGCACAAUGGGGGAAACCCUGAUGCAGCGACGCCGCGUGAGUGAAGAAGUAUUUCGGUANGUAAAGCUCUAUCAGCAGGGAANNAANNNANGGUACCUGACUAAGAAGCCCCGGCUAACUACGUGCCNNNANCCGCGGUAAUACGUAGGGGGCAAGCGUUAUCCGGAUUUACUGGGUGUAAAGGGAGCGUAGACGGCAGAGCAAGUCUGAAGUGAAAGCCCGCGGCCCAACUGCGGGACUGCUUUGGAAACUGCCCGGCUAGAGUGCUGGAGAGGUAAGCGGAAUUCCUAGUGUAGCGGUGAAAUGCGUAGAUAUUAGGAGGAACACCAGUGGCGAAGGCGGCUUACUGGACAGUAACUGACGUUGAGGCUCGAAAGCGUGGGGAGCAAACAGGA
rnacentral:rRNA from 1 species